CGACUCUCGGCAACGGAUAUCUCGGCUCUCGCAUCGAUGAAGAACGUAGCGAAAUGCGAUACCUGGUGUGAAUUGCAGAAUCCCGCGAACCAUCGAGUCUUUGAACGCAAGUUGCGCCCGAGGCCUUUGGGCCGAGGGCACGCCUGCCUGGGCGUCACGCCAAA
rnacentral:rRNA from 2 species